rnacentral:rRNA from 1 species
UACGUAGGUGGCAAGCGUUGUCCGGAUUUACUGGGCGUAAAGAGCGCGCAGGCGGUCGUCCAAGUCGCGUGUGAAAGCCCCCGGCUCCAACUGGGGAGGGUCACGGCGAUACUGGUCGACUCGAAGGCAGGAGAGGGUAGUGGAAUUCCCGGUGUAGUGGUGAAAUGCGUAGAUAUCGGGAGGAACACCAGUGGCGAAGGCGACUACCUGGCCUGUUCUUGACGCUGAGGCGCGAAAGCUAGGGGAGCAAACGGG